CCUACGGGUGGCUGCAGUGAGGAAUAUUGGUCAAUGGGCGCUAGCCUGAACCAGCCAAGUAGCGUGAAGGAUGACUGCCCUAUGGGUUGUAAACUUCUUUUAUAUGGGAAUAAAGUGCAGUACGUGUACUGCUUUGCAUGUACCUUAUGAAUAAGGAUCGGCUAACUCCGUGCCAGCAGCCGCGGUAAUACGGAGGAUCCGAGCGUUAUCCGGAUUUAUUGGGUUUAAAGGGAGCGUAGGCGGGUUGUUAAGUCAGUUGUGAAAGUUUGCGGCUCAACCGUAAAAUUGCAGUUGAUACUGGCAGCCUUGAGUACAGGAGAGGUAGGCGGAAUGCGUGGUGUAGCGGUGAAAUGCUUAGAUAUCACGAAGAACUCCGAUUGCGAAGGCAGCUUACUAAACUGUAACUGACGUUGAUGCUCGAAAGUGUGGGUAUCAAACAGGAUUAGAUACCCGGGUAGUC
rnacentral:rRNA from 1 species